rnacentral:rRNA from 1 species
AGCGAACGCUGGCGGCAGGCCUAACACAUGCAAGUCGAACGAACUCUUCGGAGUUAGUGGCGCACGGGUGAGUAACACGUGGGAACGUGCCCUUUGGUUCGGAAUAACUCAGGGAAACUUGUGCUAAUACCGAAUGUGCCCUUCGGGGGAAAGAUUUAUCGCCAUUAGAGCGGCCCGCGUCUGAUUAGCUAGUUGGUGAGGUAACGGCUCACCAAGGCGACGAUCAGUAGCUGGUCUGAGAGGAUGACCAGCCACACUGGGACUGAGACACGGCCCAGACUCCUACGGGAGGCAGCAGUGGGGAAUCUUGCGCAAUGGGCGAAAGCCUGACGCAGCCAUGCCGCGUGAAUGAUGAAGGUCUUAGGAUUGUAAAAUUCUUUCACCGGGGACGAUAAUGACGGUACCCGGAGAAGAAGCCCCGGCUAACUUCGUG